GAUGAACGCUGGCGGCGUGCCUAAUACAUGCAAGUCGAGCGAACGGACGAGAAGCUUGCUUCUCUGAUGUUAGCGGCGGACGGGUGAGUAACACGUGGAUAACAUACCUAUAAGACUGGGAUAACUUCGGGAAACCGGAGCUAAUACCGGAUAAUAUUUUGAACCGCAUGGUUCAAAAGUGAAAGACGGUCUUGCUGUCACUUAUAGAUGGAUCCGCGCUGCAUUAGCUAGGUGGUAAGGUAACGGCUGACCAAGGCAACGAUGCAUAGCCGACCUGAGAGCGUGAUCGGCCACACUGGAACUGAAACCCGCUCCAGCCUCCUACGGGAGGCAGCAGUAGAGAAUCUUCCGCAACGGGCGAAAGCCUGACGUAGAAACGCCGCGUGAGUGAUGACGGUCUUCGGGUCGUAAAACUCUGUUAUUAGGGAAGAAAAUAUGUGUAAGAAACUGUGCACAUCUUGACGGUACCUAAUCAGAAAGCGACGGCUAACUACGUG
rnacentral:rRNA from 1 species